rnacentral:rRNA from 1 species
CAGCCGCCGCGGUAAAACGAAGGGUGCAAGCGUUACUCGGAAUUACUGGGCGUAAAGCGUGCGUAGGUGGUGGUUUAAGUCCGUUGUGAAAGCCCUGGGCUCAACCUGGGAAUUGCAGUGGAUACUGGGUCACUGGAGUGUGGUAGAGGAUAGUGGAAUUUCCGGUGUAGCUGUGAAAUGCGUAGAGAUCGGGAGGAACAUCAGUGGCGAAGGCGGCCAUCUGGGACAACACUGACGCUGAGGCUCGAAAGCGUGGGGGGCAAACAGGAUUAGAUACCCCCGUAGUCCCUGUCUCUUAUAC